rnacentral:lncRNA from 1 species
GGGGCUAACGAAUCGUGGCACCGCUCUAAUCGCGGUCGCUCUCGCCGUGUGUAGUGCCACUGUGCAAGGUUCCCCCGUAGCUGAGGUAGCAGACAACGGCUCUGAUGAUUUCCGUUUGAAAUCGUAUCUAUUCGUGAAAAUAAAACGAGAAACUCAAUAGAAGCUUUAAUUGCUCUGCUUCCGCUAACAGCCGUUUCCUAGCUUUGAAGUAGCAAAACUAAAUCGAAAAAAAAAAAAAUCUCGCGGUACGACAAUUUUGGACGAGUCGGCUAUAAGCAGAAACAGCCACGGUUCCUGUUCCUCUCUGCAUGCUUCCUAAUUCCUAUGUACUAUGGACGGAGAAAUAAAUGAUCUGGCCCAGACCAGUCAGCAAUCCAAAGCCCAAUAACGAACCCAAACACGUUCAGUCCGUCGGCAAGGAGCGUCUCCGCAGUGUCAUAUGGCGAAGCGCGGAGCCGCUUGGGCAGUAGGGCGUGGGCCGUGUGGACGCAUAUGAUUCCUCCUGUUCCACCGGGUGGAAGGACCGGAACCGUUGUACCGGAGCAUCAGGUUC